rnacentral:rRNA from 1 species
GACGUAGGGCGCGAGCGUUGUCCGGAUUUAUUGGGCGUAAAGAGCUCGUAGGCGGCUUGUCGCGUCGUCCGUGAAAACUUGGGGCUCAACCCCAAGCUUGCGGUCGAUACGGGCAGGCUAGAGUUCGGUAGGGGAGACUGGAAUUCCUGGUGUAGCGGUGAAAUGCGCAGAUAUCAGGAGGAACACCGGUGGCGAAGGCGGGUCUCUGGGCCGAUACUGACACUGAGGCGCGAAAGCGUGGGGAGCGAACAGG